rnacentral:tRNA from 1 species
GGGGUGAAGCUCAAUGAAAGAGUGCUUGCCUAGCAUAUGCAAGGGCCCUGGGUUCAAUCCCUAGUACUGCA